GGUAGUUCAAGUAUUCCA
rnacentral:siRNA from 1 species